GUACUGUUGCCAAGACACUCUGACACUUGCUCAGAGACUCUGCUGCUGCCGCUGCUGCUCAGGAAUCCUCUGACUCCCGGCACUCCAGUGCCGCACCUGGGCACUCCCCGGCUGUCUGCACCUCCUGUCUUGCUCUUACAUCUGUGGAAGGUAAUCCCCUGUUUACAGUCUGUGGCUGAUGCAUCAGCGGGCUGGUGGCAUCCCCCAAGAACGCUGAAAGCAGCAGAGACUCGGCAGCGGCAAAUGGAAGAAAUUACAAAGCUUUUCCAAGAGACACUGGAGCUUAGCAGCCACUCUCGACCCUGAACAACACCUUACUGGAGGUUUCCCUUUUUCAUUACCUUUUUUCUCACAUCUGUGAGUUUGAUUGUGCUAAAGCCUGGCCACUCUUCAUAUCCUAUUCCCUUUUCUCUAUCAAGCUGAGGUUGAUUUCACCUUUGUCCAGGUCAUUGCAUGCCACCUGGACCUCUGGCUACAGAUUAGUGACCCAGGCAUUAGUGUCACUUAUCUUGAUUUUCUCUUUCACUCAGAGGAUCUCCCAGCCCUGACAAGAAGACAGAUAACAAAUUUCAGAAGCCAAAGCUGAGUUCACCCACCCUACUGCAGCUGUUCUCCACUCAAACCCUUUCCUCCCAUACUUUUACCCAGACAAAACUCUGCUUCCUUGCUCUCAAAUAUGAGUCUUCAGGCAGUCAGACAUAGCAGUGAGAGGCAAGGACAAAGUCUGAUGUGCAAGAGGGUGUACAGCUAUGUGACUCCUGAGUCUUUUCUUUAAAUCUUCUUUCCUCUCGUUUCAGUCACAGCAAGAUUCCAGCACCUACAGCAAAAGACACAGGGUCUGGCCUCCAGGGAACAGACCCAUUCCAUAUGCAGCUCUGAUUCCUUCCUUAACUGACCCUGGACACCAAAAAUGAAUGGCUUAAUCCUAAAAAAAGCUAGUGUGUCAGCACGCAAGUAAAAUGUAUAUUUACACUAAGGCUAAAUUAAUGUCAUUUUGGGACCUGAAUUUAGGGUCCCAAACUGAACAUUUCAG
rnacentral:lncRNA from 1 species